GACGAACGCUGGCGGCGUGCUUAACACAUGCAAGUCGAACGCAUCCUUCGGGGUGAGUGGCAGACGGGUGAGUAACGCGUGGGAACGUGCCCUUCAGUUCGGGAUAACCCAGGGAAACUUGGGCUAAUACCGGAUACGUGCGAGAGCAGAAAGAUUUAUCGCUGAAGGAUCGGCCCGCGUCUGAUUAGAUAGUUGGUGGGGCAAUGGCCCACCAAGGCGACGAUCAGUAGCUGGUCUGAGAGGAUGAUCAGCCACAUUGGGACUGAGACACGGCCCAAACUCCUACGGGAUGCAGCAGUGGGGAAUAUUGGACAAUGGGCGCAAGCCUGAUCCAGCCAUGCCGCGUGAGUGAUGAAGGCCUUAGGGUUGUAAAGCUCUUUCGUCCGGGACGAUAAUGACGGUACCGGAAGAAGAAGCCCCGGCUAACUUCGUGCCAGCCGCCGCGGUAA
rnacentral:rRNA from 1 species